GACGAACGCUGGCGGCGUGCUUAACACAUGCAAGUCGAACGGUGAAGGGACCGGUUUUUGCUGGUUCUGGAUGAGUGGCGAACGGGUGAGUAACACGUGAGUAACCUGCCCCCUUCUUCUGGAUAACCGCAUGAAAGUGUGGCUAAUACGGGAUAUUCUGCGCCUGCUGCAUGGUGGGUGUGGGAAAGAUAUUGUUUCGGUGGGGGAUGGGCUCGCGGCCUAUCAGCUUGUUGGUGGGGUGAUGGCCUACCAAGGCGGUGACGGGUAGCCGGCCUGAGAGGGUGGACGGUCACACUGGGACUGAGACACGGCCCAGACUCCUACGGGAGGCAGCAGUGGGGAAUAUUGCACAAUGGGCGCAAGCCUGAUGCAGCGACGCCGCGUGAGGGAUGGAGGCCUUCGGGUUGUAAACCUCUUUCGCCAGUGAAGCAGGCCUGUCCCUUUUGUGGGUGGGUUGACGGUAGCUCGAUAAGAAGCGCCGGCUAACUACGUG
rnacentral:rRNA from 1 species